rnacentral:SRP_RNA from 1 species
GCCAGGCAUAGUGGCAUGUGCCUGUGGUCCCAGCUACUCUGGAGGCUGAGGUAGGAGAAUUGCUUGAGCCCAGGAGUUCCGGGCUGCAGUGAGCCAUGAUCACACCACUGCACUCCAGCCUAGGCAACAAAGUGAGCCCUCAUCUCAA